UUUUUGGUUUAGUGAAACUUUGCUUUUAACUUUCUAGUUUGAUAGUGUUUAGAAAGCGAUAAAAUACAGAAAUGUAAAGAACAUCGACAAUAUAUCCUGGUUUCCCUCACAAUUCGAGAGUACUCUAGACCUCUUACGCGGUAAGAGAUUUUAAUAUUGUUAGAUCUUAUGUACAAGACAAUCCUAGUCUUCCUAUACAAGACUCUAACACAAUCACCAAGAACAAUCCUCUUGUGAU
rnacentral:lncRNA from 1 species